rnacentral:lncRNA from 1 species
CAGACUUUUUCAAUUAAAAUAUACUAUAAUCCUAGCUAUUGUUUGGUGAGCCUAAAUAUAUUGUGGGACUGGUUAGGCCUCAUAUUUCGAUAGGAUACCAAUCCAGCAAAUGAGGGUUUUGUAAACCCAAGUGGAACCAUGUGUUUCGAAGCCUCUGCCUCUGCCUCCGCCUUUCGUUGCUUUAGAGAACCUCUUAUUUUCAUCAUCUUUCUUCUCUUCUUCUAUUCAUCUUUUUCUCUGAUGCUUCCACAGAUUUCAAGCAAUCUGACACUUCAAUCUCUCUCGCUCUCUAUCAUGGAAAUAGGAACAAGAAAAAGAAGAAGGAAAGGGUGGGUCUGAAGAGAAGGGAAAAGGAGAUCUUGACCAUAAUUUUUUUUUUCUUCUCAUUUUCUGGGUUUUGCCUACACUCGGAAUUGGGGGCCCUUAAUAAAGGUUGUCCAUCUCUUUUGUUUUUCUUGCUUCUGUUUGUUCCUGGUCCUGAUAAGAAUCCCAGAUUUUCUACAUCUCUCUAUCUCCUUUUGGCUUCAAUUUUAUUUAUUUAUUGUCUGUUGUUAAUUUUGGUUAAUGGGUUGAUCGAAUUGAUCUCAAUUGUUCUGGGUAAGUCAGAUAUGUUGGUUAAUUUUUUUGGAUUUUGUUGCUUGAUCGAUGUAAGUCCUAAUCUCUCUCUCUCUCUCUCUCUCUCUCUCUCUUUUUAAAUUUUAAUUUUUCUGAUUUUAUUAGUUUAAAAUUUUCCAUAUUGGUCAACCCGGUAAGCGAUAAAUUUUCAUAUUGAUCAAUUCGAGACUCUAAAUUCGAGACUCUGUGGGGUCCACGACCUCCAAAUAUUAAUCCGAGAGUUCCUAUAGGUUCCUUACAUUUAAAUAACUCUAUCUUGCAAGUUUGGUCUGAAUCAGAUGGUCAGAUUAAUCACAAUCGCACAAUCGAAUGAUCACGGUUAAUUAACUCUAGGGUUCGUGAUUUCGGAGUAUCCGAGACUCCGAUUCAUGAUCCGUCGAAUCUUAUACGAUCCUAGAAAUACGGGGUACAACAUAUGUGAGUUGAGUUCGAUCCAAAGGUACGAACCCAUCGAACCUGGAUAACGGACAAUAUGCAAAAUCCAUUCAAGGCUCAAACGGUAUCCGAAUUGGAAUUCGAGUAUACCUACCCACUCAUGACAAAUAGGGGAUCGUAUCGGCACACAAUAUCUCUUUUCUACAGUGCCCACAUGCCACCACACGUUCUGGCAGCGCGUGGGUGUCCAAAAUGAUAACGACCACUGGA